rnacentral:tRNA from 1 species
CGCGGGGUGGAGCAGCUGGUAGCUCGUUGGGCUCAUAACCCAAAGGCCGGAGGUUCGAAUCCUCUCCCCGCUA